AUGGAUUUCAUGAGCCUGUCAAAUGAUUUUCUUCAUUCACUCAAAACACAUUUCACAUGUACUCCCUCCGUCCGGAAAUACUUGUCAUCAAACUGGAUAAAAGGGGAUGUAUCUAGAUGUAUUUUAGUUAUAGAUACAUCUCUUUUUAUCCAUUUUGAUGACAAGUAUUUUCGGACGGAGGGAGUAUGUGUAGGUAUAUAUCAGUAUAAGGGUAGUAGGAAACCUGUUCCCGACAAGCCUGUGCAUUCUGAAAACAAGAUCUUCCUCUGCUUCUGUGAAAUCAACAAAAUGCUUUGCGGUGCUAUUAACUUCUGCCAAUAUUACGUAAAUAUUAGAAACUUCAAAAUGUGGUCAUAA
rnacentral:rRNA from 1 species